CCUACGGGUGACAGCAGUGAGGAAUAUUGGUCAAUGGGCGCGAGCCUGAACCAGCCAAGUCGCGUGAGGGAAGACGGUCCUAUGGAUUGUAAACCUCUUUUGUCGGGGAGCAAACGACGCCACGCGUGGCGUUCCGAGAGUACCCGACGAAAAAGCAUCGGCUAACUCCGUGCCAGCAGCCGCGGUAAUACGGAGGAUGCGAGCGUUAUCCGGAUUUAUUGGGUUUAAAGGGUGCGCAGGCGGACGAUCAAGUCAGCGGUAAAAUUGAGGGGCUCAACCUCUUCGAGCCGUUGAAACUGGUUGGCUUGAGUGAGUGAGAGGUAGGCGGAAUGCGUGGUGUAGCGGUGAAAUGCAUAGAUAUCACGCAGAACUCCGAUUGCGAAGGCAGCAUACCGGGGCUCAACUGACGCUCAUGCACGAAAGUGUGGGUAUCGAACAGGAUUAGAUACCCUUGUAGUC
rnacentral:rRNA from 1 species